rnacentral:rRNA from 1 species
GGGGAAUAUUGGACAAUGGGCGCAAGCCUGAUCCAGCCAUGCCGCGUGAGUGAUGAAGGCCCUAGGGUUGUAAAGCUCUUUUGUGCGGGAAGAUGAUGACGGUACCGCAAGAAUAAGCCCCGGCUAACUUCGUGCCAGCAGCCGCGGUAAUACGAAGGGGGCUAGCGUUGCUCGGAAUCACUGGGCGUAAAGGGUGCGUAGGCGGGUCUUUAAGUCAGAGGUGAAAGCCUGGAGCUCAACUCCAGAACUGCCUUUGAUACUGAGGAUCUCGAGUUCGGGAGAGGUGAGUGGAACUGCGAGUGUAGAGGUGAAAUUCGUAGAUAUUCGCAAGAACACCAGUGGCGAAGGCGGCUCACUGGCCCGAUACUGACGCUGAGGCACGAAAGCGUGGGGAGCAAACA